AUUGAACGCUGGCGGCAGGCCUAACACAUGCAAGUCGAACGGCAGCGGGGGAUAGCUUGCUAUCCUGCCGGCGAGUGGCGGACGGGUGAGUAAUGCAUGGGGAGCUGCCCAGUCGAGGGGGAUAACAACUGGAAACGGUUGCUAAUACCGCAUACGCCCUGAGGGGGAAAGGUGGGGAACUUCGGUCCUACCGCGAUUGGAUGCGCCCAUGUGGGAUUAGCUAGUUGGUGAGGUAACGGCUCACCAAGGCGACGAUCUCUAGCUGGUCUGAGAGGAUGACCAGCCACACUGGAACUGAGACACGGUCCAGACUCCUACGGGAGGCAGCAGUGGGUAAUAUUGCACAAUGGGGGAAACCCUGAUGCAGCCAUGCCGCGUGUGUGAAGAAGGCCUUCGGGUUGUAAAGCACUUUCAGUCAGGAGGAAGGGGUGAUGGCUAAUAUCCAUCAUCAUUGACGUUACUGACAGAAGAAGCACCGGCUAACUCCGUGCCAGCCGCCGCUGUAA
rnacentral:rRNA from 1 species